CAGGGAUUGCCUCAGUAACGGCGAGUGAAGCGGCAAUAGCUCAAAUUUGAAAGCUGGCUCACGCCCGCAUUGUAAUUUGUAGAGGAUGCUUCGGGUGCGGUGCCGGUCUAAGUUCUUUGGAACAGGACGUCAUAGAGGGUGAGAAUCCCGUAUGUGACUGGUGGCCUGCGUCUAUGUGAAGCUCCUUCGACGAGUCGAGUUGUUUGGGAAUGCAGCUCUAAAUGGGUGGUGUACUUCAUCUAAAGCUAAAUAUUGGCUGGAGACCGAUAGCGCACAAGUAGAGUGAUCGAAAGAUGAAAAGCACUUUGGAAAGAGAGUUAAAUAGUACGUGAAAUUGUUGAAAGGGAAGCGCUUGCAAUCAGACUUGCACUGCGUCGAUCAACCUGGGUUCUCCCUGGUGCACUCGGCGCAGUUCAGGCCAGCAUCAGUUUCGGCGGUUGGAUAAAGGCCUGGAGAACGUGAGUUGCUUCGGCGACUGUUAUAGCUCCAGGUGCAAUGCAGCCAGCUGGGACUGAGGACCGCGCUUCGGCUAGGAUGCUGGCGUAAUGGUUGUAAGCGACCCGUCUUGAAACACGGACCAAGGAGUCUAACAUUUGUGCGAGUGUUUGGGUGUUAAACCCAUACGCGUAAUGAAAGUGAACGGAGGUGAGAACCCUCAAGGGUGCAUCAUCGACCGAUCCUGAUGUCUUCGGAUGGAUUUGAGUAAGAGCAUAACUGUUGGGACCCGAAAGAUGGUGAACUAUGCCUGAAUAGGGUGAAGCCAGAGGAAACUCUGGUGGARGCUCGCAGCGGUUCUGACGUGCAAAUCGAUCGUCAAAUUUGGGUAUAGGGGCGAAAGACUAAUCGAACCAUUGAUAUCACUGUUAGGUGGUUGAGAGGCCUGCGAGGCCUAGUCGCUGCGGCGGCCAUACUGCAAAAUUGCGGGGACAGCCCUAUAGCUGCAGGCUACCACAGCGCGCUCGAAAGGGCGCGCCACGGUAAGAAAGCCUGGCAGCUGGGCCGAUCCGCAACCUCAGCCUACGGCGCUAUUACCCGGCUUACGCUUGACGUACCCGGCGAACGCGCUACGGCUCGAGGCUCAUCGACUAGAUGGCAGUGGGUGCUGGGAGAGUCCAGCGCCUAAGGGAUAGUCAGUCCCUUGCUGAGAGGCAGCGGAGGCUACGCUAGUAGCUGGUUCACGCCGAAGUUUCCCUCAGGAUAGCAGUGUUGUAUUCAGUUUUAUGAGGUAAAGCGAAUGAUUAGAGGCCUUGGGGUUGAAACAACCUUAACCUAUUCUCAAACUUUAAAUAUGUAAGAAGU
rnacentral:rRNA from 1 species